GUAGGGAAUAUUGGGCAAUGGAUGCAAGUCUGACCCAGCCAUCCCGCGUGCCGGAAGAAGGCCCUCAGGGUUGUAAACGGCUUUUGACGGUGAAGAAUCGACAGGAUGCGUCCUGUUUUGACGGUAGCCGUUGAAUAAGCACCGGCUAACUCCGUGCCAGCAGCCGCGGUAAUACGGAGGGUGCGAGCGUUGUCCGGAUUUAUUGGGUUUAAAGGGUGCGUAGGCUGGAAGGUCAGUCAGCGGUGAAAAGCUGUCGCUUAACGAUAGUCUUGCCGCAGAUACUUCCUUACUUGGAUGAGGAGGAGGCCACUGGAACGGAUGGUGUAGCGGUGAAAUGCAUAGAUAUCAUCCAGAACACCGAUUGCGAAGGCAGGUGGCUGUACCUUAAUCGACGCUGAUGCACGAAAGCAUGGGGAGCAAACAGGAUUAGAUACCCUAGUAGUCC
rnacentral:rRNA from 1 species